AGUGAACGCUGGCGGUAGGCCUAACACAUGCAAGUCGAACGGCAGCACAGUAAGAGCUUGCUCUUACGGGUGGCGAGUGGCGGACGGGUGAGGAAUACAUCGGAAUCUACUUUUUCGUGGGGGAUAACGUAGGGAAACUUACGCUAAUACCGCAUACGACCUACGGGUGAAAGCAGGGGAUCUUCGGACCUUGCGCGAUUGAAUGAGCCGAUGUCGGAUUAGCUGGUUGGCGGGGUAAAGGCCCACCAAGGCGACGAUCCGUAGCUGGUCUGAGAGGAUGGUCAGCCACACUGGAACUGAGACACGGUCCAGACGCCUACGGGAGGCAGCAGUGGGGAAUAUUGGACAAUGGGCGCAAGCCUGAUCCAGCCAUACCGCGUGGGUGAAGAAGGCGUUCGGGUUGUAAAGCCCUUUUGUUGGGAAAGAAAAGCAGCAGGUUAAUACCCCGCUGUUCUGACGGUACCCAAAGAAUAAGCACCGGCUAACUUCGUG
rnacentral:rRNA from 1 species